rnacentral:rRNA from 1 species
UGGUGGAGCCAUGUGGUUUAAUUCGAUGCAACGCGAAGAACCUUACCUGGUCUUGACAUAGUAAGAACUUUCCAGAGAUGGAUUGGUGCCUUCGGGAACUUACAUACAGGUGCUGCAUGGCUGUCGUCAGCUCGUGUCGUGAGAUGUUGGGUUAAGUCCCGCAACGAGCGCAACCCUUUUCCUUAUUUGCCAGCACUUCGGGUGGGAACUUUAAGGAUACUGCCAGUGACAAACUGGAGGAAGGCGGGGACGACGUCAAGUCAUCAUGGCCCUUACGACCAGGGCUACACACUGCCUACAAUGGAC